rnacentral:rRNA from 1 species
AAUUCUAAUGAUGCACUGCCGAAAUGAACAUCGACAUUUCGAACGCACAUUGCGGUCCAUGGAUUCCGUUCCCGGACCACGCCUGGCUGAGGGUCGGUUGCUAAAACUGAACCUCUUUCGUUUGCUUCGAGAGCUGGACGUCACGGUUCGGCGGCCUCGGCCGCCGCCCGUCUCCUGAAAGGAGCUCCGCCUCCGGUGGAGCUGGACCGGUCGACACACCGCUGAGAGUGUGAGCGACGGGAGGGUUGGUCCGCGCAGCGUCUUUGUGUCUGCUGGCGCCGGUUCACCGCCUUUGCCCCGCGCGAAGCUCGAAAGCGUGGCGUGUCUAAAAACCAACCGGAACAUGUGAAAUAAAACACACCUCGAGCAGGAGACUACCCGCUGAAUUUAAGC